CACGUAGGGGACGAGCGUUGUCCGGAUUCACUGGGCUUAAAGGGCGCGUAGGCGGGUGCUCAAGUCCGGGGUGAAAUCCUCCAGCUCAACUGGAGAAUAGCCUUGGAUACUGGGCACCUCGAGUGAGGUAGGGGCGGGCGGAACUUCCGGUGGAGCGGUGAAAUGCGUAGAUAUCGGAAGGAACGUCGGUGGCGAAAGCGGCCCGCUGGACCUCUUCUGACGCUGAGGCGCGAAAGCCAGGGGAGCAAACGGG
rnacentral:rRNA from 1 species